rnacentral:rRNA from 1 species
GAUUAUGGCUCAGAAUGAACGCUGGCGGCAUGGAUUAGGCAUGCAAGUCGAACGUACUCCCUUCGGGGAGAAAGUGGCGAAAGGGUGAGUAACACGUGAGCAACCUGCCUCCGGAAUCCGGAAUAAUCCAGGGAAACUUGGUCUAAAACCGGAUGAAGACAUUGGUCCGCAUGGUCUAAUGUUAAAAUAUUUAUAGUCCGGAGAGGGGCUCGCGGCCCAUUAGCUUGUUGGCGGGGUAAUGGCCCACCAAGGCUACGACGGGUAGGUGGUCUGAGAGGAUGGUCACCCACACUGGGACUGAGACACUGCCCAGACUCCUACGGGAGGCUGCAGUCGAGAAUCUUCCGCAAUGGGCGCAAGCCUGACGGAGCGAUGCCGCGUGAGGGAUGAAGGCCUUCGGGUUGUAAACCUCUGUCAUCCGGGACGAAAACAAUGACGGUACCGGAAAAGGAAGCCACGGCUAACCACGUGCCAGCCGCCGC